AGUCUCCCGGGCGGCACAGAAGGUGAAAAAAGUAGGGAAAUUUGGGCCAGGCGAGGUUUGCUGGAGCUCAGCCCAGACCCCAAGCAAGAAAGCCCAGCCCUUCCAACCAGCUCUGGGACAAGGAGGAGGCCCUGAGGCUGCUGCUGAUGGGGCUGCUCUGCUCUUUGCAGAGCUGCUGCAUCUGAGGCCAGAGCGGGGCCACCAUCCCCUGCUGUGAUGGCACAGCGGGAAGGCAGGGACACCCUGCACCUGCCCGAUUCCAGGACAGAGGGAGCUCAUCAGGUUUCUUUUCCCAUCAGGCCACCAUCAUGGGAGGGCUUUAAUGCAUUGCCCGAGCUAGAAGAGACACACAGGCACUGGGAUGCCAGUGAGUGCCUUUGUCCAGGAGGCAGGCAGGAGGCAGAGGAGGAGGGCCUCCAGUUAAGACCCAGAGCAUGUUGCUCUCAUGAAGGAAUCUUCUGACGACUCGACAGAAUACGAGACCAUCACCCCCAGUAAGAGCAAACUCCAUAGCAACCAACAGGCAACAUCGGAGGAGACUCUGGAAUCCCCCUCCCAGGAGACGAGCAGCUCCAGCCCUGACAGUCAGGUAACAUCGGGGUCACCCCACAGCAGCGUCCCAGAAACUGAGGACAGCAGCUGCUCCAGCAGUCGGGGGCCUGAAUGCAGGCGAAACUGCUCCCACCAGCAGGGUCAGACCCCCAGUUCAUCCAGGUGCCAUGCCCGGGGCCACUGUCUCCCUCCCUCCAGCAUGCCUGCUGUGUCAGCAAUCAGAGGCUGACCCGCACAUCUUGGGCGGAAAAACUCCAGAUAAAUGGUUUCUGUGCCCACCAGUUCUGCCCUCCCAACAGCGAAACCAGUCCCGCCAGCCAACGGGACUGGUCAAUGCAACAGGAGCCACUGGGAGGGACUGGGAGGGACUGGGUGUCAUUAUCUAGUUAACUAAACCAAGUCCCUUCACUAUGAACCUUAGACAAGGUAAAAGGGAGGUAACUUGGUUUAUGUCUUUACAGGGGCCCAAUUAAGUUUUACGAUUUCUUUUUCUUUUCUCUCUCCGGGUUGUGUUGACCUCAGGCUGUUUUCUUUUUAUGGACCUCAAAUCGUUCUCCCUUUUACCUUGUCUAAAAUUUAUAGUGAAGGGACUUGGUUUAGUUAACUAGAUAAUGACACCUUUCUGCAAAGUUGAUAACUGUGCAGAUAACAAGCACCCAUCUGGCAGUGUCUGACCUGACAAUGGGUAAUGUUUUUGCUGUUGUGUAAGGAAUGUAUAUAUUUAUAGAGAGAAUAAAUAGAGAACAAGUGUCUCCUUUCAACCCCUCCCUGAUCCCCCAGCGCUGAAUUUGCUUUUCUCAGAUAAUAAAUUCUGGUUGGAAACCACCCG